rnacentral:rRNA from 1 species
GAUAAACGCUGGCGGCGUGCAUGAGACAUGCAAGUCGAACGGACGAUCGAGGCUUGCUUCGGCCGUUAGUGGCGGACGGCUGAGUAACGCGUGGGUGACCUGCCCCGAGUGGGAAGUAACUGCCCGAAGGGUGGCUAAUACCGCAUGUGGUGGUGAGUUCAUUCUCACCAGUAAAGCCGCAAGGCGCUUCGGGAGGGGCCUGCGUCCGAUUAGCUCGUUGGUGGGGUAANGGCUCACCAAGGCGACGAUCGGUAGGUGGUCUGAGAGGACGAUCACCCAGACUGGGACUGAGACACGGCCCAGACUCCUACGGGAGGCAGCAGUCGGAAUUUUGCGCAGUGGGCGAAAGCCUGACGCAGCAACGCCGCGUGAGGGAUGAAGGCCU